UUGGACUGAUUAAGAACACUGACUGAAAAAAUCCCUUGUGACUUGAGUGUACUGGCUGAAUACUAAGCCAGGCUCCUGCCAUGGAUGACACAGUCUUGAGUGUAUCUUAAAGCUUUUGGCUGCAUUAGACAGAAAGAACAUACUGAAAUGGAGCUGUUCUGGGUUGCUCACCUUCUGGGUGAGCAUGGCUAAUGCCUGCACUGCUCUGCAGCUCAGAGAAACAUCAUGUGAAUAUCCCAAGUUCAAUCAAGACACAAAGCCUGGCCUGGAGAUGCCUUAGGGGAGGCAGAAAAGCACCUACCCCAGGUCACAGGAUUCUUGCAACCAUUGCAAACUGCUUCUUCCAAAUCAAAGGGUGACAAGAAUUACAAAGAGGACACACUAGACCAGAUUUCACCCAUCUUGGACCAACAGAAAAAUCAAGUAUAUCUCUGUUCUGGAUACCACCAUAAUUUGUGAGAGUCUUGUAGGUAGGGGGAGAGAAGAAGAGGGAUAUACUAGGAAUAUUUCAUCUUACAGUAUUGGUAUCUUCUACACCAGCUGCUUUUUCCAGCUUUCUUUUGGGGUCAUAUUAAGAAGGAAUUCUAUAAUCAAUGUUCCAACAUCAGAAAGUAAUCAAAAAUAGAUGGCUUUCCCACUGCAUAUCUCCUUAUCUACACAGUAAUUUAAUAUUUACAACAGUUAAUGAAAUCUGAAGUGAUAUUUGACAUAAGUUUUUAAACCAAGGUGAGGGAAUAACUUGCUGUGCAAGACUUUUUUCUGUGCUCAAAUGCCCAUGACUAUCCUUUGGAAACCAGUCAAGCUUUUUUUUUUUUUUUUUUAUUUUUUUUUUUUUUUUUUUUUUUUUUUUAUAGCCUUCCUAGUCUAGACCUAUACUAAAAGAAGGAUUGUAAACCUUCUCACUAGAUAAUAUGGAAUAGCCAGAUUGUUAUCUCUCUGAUUAUUCUUGAAUUCUUAAAAGCAACAAUAGUAAUAAUAUGGAUUGGUCUCCCUCUAAUAUGAUGAUGGUUUGGAGGUUUAGCUUUAUCAAAUAAUACAAAUACAACAGUUUAAAGCUAAUUAUGUAUCUGAGCAACAUGAAAGAUGGAAAGAUGGCUAAAGAGUAGCUGCCAGAGCCCCACCUGAGUAAGACUGGUGUAUGGAAGAAUAUUUAUUGAAGGACUCUCUCAAAUCCAGUGCAGGCUUCUUCUUUUAAGCGCACACAACCUAUAGCAAGGCCACGUUGUACGUACUCCUUUAGUGUCCCGGGUGGCUCCCCCAUGGUCCCACAGCAAAUGUCCCCUCAGACAUCUGCCGAGGCCUGGGGCAGUCCUUUAUUUCACCCCCACCAUGCUGUGACCUUGCCCAUCACCAGAUGUUGGCUGAGAGCACAGCAGGGGAUGACCUGGCCCCUGUUUAGGUGUACAGCCUUGCUCACCAGGGAGUUGGACACACGACAAGUGCAUCUCCUCAGCCACCUCAAGUCCCUCAGAGCUUCCUAAAGGCAUGGAGUCAUGUUUAAAAUGAGUAUCAGCACCUUGGACACAAUCCAUAAAUUAGGCCUAAGUUAUGUUCAAGGCUAGUUCAAGCUACAGAAUUAUACAAUCAUAUCCUUAACCAGCUCAUUUUUUUGUGUGUGAUGGAACUCACAUAAUGAUGAAGGUCAUAUCAAGGACAAUACUUUUGUAGGGGUCAAAACAGUUGAAACAAACAAUUUUAUUAGCUAAGGAAUAUGACCUUUCUUACCAACUUCUUCUUGAAGGACUGAAAAUAUGUUAUUUAGAGCAUUUGCAACAUUUCUUGGUUUAUUAUGGGCUAAUGAGGCACGUGUUACCCCUAAACAGCAUGAAAAAACCUCAACCUUAUGCUGUGAAAAUUCAACCUUUUCAAGGUUGUCACUAGUCUACAGCCAAAAACAGAUGCAGAGCUGAAAAUAAUGAACUAUAUAAAUAUACAUGUAGUUUUUUCACUUUAUCCUCCUGAGUAUGCUCCCUAGGUGCUUCAUGCUAUGUCAGUUUUCAUCUGCUAAAGAUCUGUCCUAACACUUGGAAAUUAAGAACUGUAGUUCAAAUAAGACUUCUUGAAUAAGUUUGGAAGUGGUAGAAUAUAGUACCUGACUGAAGUUGUAUAAAAACUUUUUAAAAGUGUGUGUUGUACUUAUUUAUCUAUUCUUUUGCCAAAGAGAUGGACAGGGUUAAUACACAUGAUGUUCCUGAUGUUCAUGAGCACCUUUUCAGUACUGUUACUCCAUUGUGUUCUUUCUCAUGUGAUUUUUUCAGAACUAUACAAAUCCCUGUUCUGUUAUUUUGUUUUGUUCUUGUA